UCUCCGGAAGGUUUGAGAAACUUCCUCAUUUGUUGCCUUGGCAAAGCCUGAGGUCUUCACACCAGCUUUCUUCACCCAAUAAUAGUCACACCUCCACAGGUCCAAGUCACCGGAGUGCUUCCCAUUUGUGACAUCAUUUCAGCUCAUAAUAGCAUCAUCUCGCUCACACCAAACUUUCAAGUAACCAGAAGGACACAGUUACGUCUCCUGCGUAAUUCUUUUCUCUGGGCCCCUGUCCCUUCAGCAACGGCAACGUGCGAAUUGAGCUGUAAAGUCACACUGAAUCCUCAUGCACGUACCUUAAUGCACCUAAGAGAUGUGACUGUGCCGGUCUGUCCCUUCCAGCCUGGUCACCUCAGUGGCCCUACCUUUCCAUCCUGCAUCUGGAGGACCUCAAAAAGAUUUCUCCUUCAAGUUUCUGAGUAAAAGGCAUGCCCUGUGGGGCGUCAAGGUGCCUGGUGAGCCCCCGUGUGCCUCGGGUCCAGCAGCACCUUCUGGACAACAUGCACCUGCAGCAUGAAGUCCAAGUCCUGAUGAGGAAACCGAGACUCAGAGGAGUCACAACAUUUUGCCCAGGAGUCCACUUGAAAGCACGAGGGCAGGAUUCAAAUGCAGGCCUGUAUGACUGUGGACACCCUACCUGUGACUUGCAAACUUCUCAUCAGUAGAUUUCCACCAUUGACACCAGACCUGCCAUUGCUAAGCUAUUCUUUUGCCAAGUCAGAUAUUAAAACAACAACAACGAUGACAAAACCAGCAGAAAAGCUUCAGAAAGUUGGCGCAGCAAGGAAGAUGUAACUUUAAGAGUGAAAGACACUCCUUCUUCAGAAAGGAUGGAUGCUGACCACAUGCAGACACUGGCUCUGGGCUGGUGAGGCUUCCCCGUGACUAAGCAUUUGGCAAUGACUAUACCGUGUUUGUGGAGGAUCGUUUAACCCACAUCACCAUACAAGGUCAAAUAACAUUCCUCAGCUUUCUGGGGAAUGACGUGAGCAGGGCCAUCUGUGGCUUAAGAGCCAACGUUGCAGGCUGUGUCAUUUAAGCCACACCCCUUGAUCAUGUGCUACAGACGGACACCCCCAGCUUCCCCCUAACACGAGACAGCGGCCGGAGGGGAAGCGUAAAAAUAGUCUGUGGGGGCACACCGUGAGAUGAAGGCUCUGAGAUGUGUGGAUGGCACGCUUGGGGCUUCUCCCCGCCCCCUCCCUGGUGGGAGGGCUUCUCUCCAGGGCAGCUGGCAGCACCAGGCCGGGAAGCUGGUCACCAGGAUGAGGGCAGGCACUUCCCCAUAGAGGAACCCUCGACCUCCCAAUGCCCCUUUCCUCAAUUCAAAGUCACUGCCACAAUGAGCUUCUCCCCUCUUCUGGGAAGCCCACCCUGAUUAAAUGUGGCAGAAUGAUGAGCCAAGCUGAUCCCUUCCCUGUGCUAAUCACUCAUGAACCCUCUUCUGAGUUUCUAGACUCCCUAUCAGAAAAGGAUGAAAACCCUGCUCCUGCUUCCGGGCAGCCUUCACUGACCUUCCCCUCUUCCCCUCUCUCCUCCCUCACAGUUGGGUUGUGUGCCCCCUUCUGGGGCCCCCCACUGAAUCCUUCCCCACCUUACACCUGGACUGUGACCACAUGUGGGCCUAUCAGACUGUCUCAGGAGGGCAAGGGGCCCUGAGCCCUGCACACUGCCCAGCACAGACGACACACUAACCACGGGGAGUCCACACAUAUGUUUGACAGGAGGGUGUCAGCAACCCCCGCAGGCUUGAUCUCCCACCUGGACAAAUGCGUGGCACUGUGGAGCUUCUCUCCUACCAGUCCGGAUUGAACUAGAUCAUCAUUUCUCAGACCCCUACUACAUGAGAAUGUCCAGAGGUGAGGUGCAGAAACUGUAUGUUUUAGAAUCAGCCAGACCGUGAGGCCACCAGCUAUGUACUCCAAGGUAGCUUUAUACUUCCGGGACCCUGGGGUCAGAGUCGGGGUACUGCUGGGCCCACUUAGGAACUGAUUAAGACAAUGAACAAUCCUGUCCUACCCACACCCCUGUCUGUGCCCAGUGUGUUCUUCUCUGGAAGCUCCUGAGCUUCCCAUCCCCGGAGACAGGCCCUGGCAGGUGCUGCCACCAUAGUCACUCACCCUGGACAGAGCCCGACUGGCCAGCAUCUCAAAGGCUUGUACCACAUUGAUGUCGUUCUUGGCACUGACUUCAAAGUAGGGAAUAUCCUUCUCUUUACACCAGCCUUGAGCUACCUCCUGAGGCACCUGAAUGAAAGGAAGACUGUCCCUGAAUCAUUGCUGCUACCAUCCCCACCCUCAUCAUAUUGCCCACUGUCACCUCCCACCAUCCCCACCAGUACUCCCAUUUAUCAAGAACCUUCCAUGUGUUACACACAUUCUUUCUUUCUUGUUUUUUUUUUUUUUAAGAUUUUAUUUAUAUAUUCA